GUGGUGGUGGUGAUUAUGAUGGAGAGAGAGGUGGUGGUGGUGAUGAUGAUGAUGGAGAGAGAGGUGGUGGUGGUGGUGGUGAUGAUGAUGAUGGAGAGAGAGGUAGUGGUGGUGGUGGUGAUGAUGAUGAUGGAGAGAGAGGUGGUGGUGGUGAUGAUGAUGAUGGAGAGAGAGGUGGUGGUGGUGGUGGUGGUGAUGAUGGAGAGAGAGGUGGUGGUGGUGGUGAUGAUGGAGAGAGAGGUGGUGGUGGUGGUGAUGAUGAUGAUGGAGAGAGAGGUAGUGGUGGUGGUGGUGAUGAUGAUGGAGAGAGAGGUGGUGGUGGUGGUGGUGAUGAUGAUGGAGAGAGAGGUGGUGGUGGUGGUGGUGAUGAUGAUGGAGAGAGAGGUGGUGGUGGUGGUGGUGAUGAUGAUGGAGAGAGAGGUGGUGGUGGUGGUGAUGAUGAUGAUGGAGAGAGA
ensembl:lncRNA